rnacentral:rRNA from 1 species
CUUGACUUCCAUAAGAGGUCCAGCCUGCCCAGUGAUACUAUUAAACGGCCGCGGUACCCUGACCGUGCGAAGGUAGCAUAAUAACUUGUUCUUUAAAUGGGGACUAGCAUGAACGGCAUCACGAGGGUCUCACUGUCUCCUUUUUCUAAUCAGUGAAACUGAUCUCCCCGUGAAGAAGCGGGGAUAAAAAUAUAAGACGAGAAGACCCCAUGGAGCUUUAAACCCAAUAGACACCUCUGACUAAUCUAACCCAAAACACUUCUUAAGUUCUGUCUAUUGGUUUUAGGUUGGGGUGACCACGGAGUACAAUAAAUCCUCCAUGACGUACGGGACUUCCCUCUUAUCCUUGAACCACAUUUCUAAGAAUCAACAAAUUGACGUUUAAUGAUCCAAUAUAUUGAUCAACGGACCA